AACACACUGUGCUUGCACACCGUGUUUUCUUGAGUCGCGAACGGGUGAGUAACGCGUAGGUAACCUGCCUAUUAGCGGGGGAUAACUAUUGGAAACGAUAGCUAAUACCGCAUAAUAUUAAUUAUUGCAUGAUAAUUGAUUGAAAGAUGCAAGCGCAUCACUAGUAGAUGGACCUGCGUUGUAUUAGCUAGUUGGUAAGGUAAGAGCUUACCAAGGCGACGAUACAUAGCCGACCUGAGAGGGUGAUCGGCCACACUGGGACUGAGACACGGCCCAGACUCCUACGGGAGGCAGCAGUAGGGAAUCUUCGGCAAUGGACGAAAGUCUGACCGAGCAACGCCGCGUGAGUGAAGAAGGUUUUCGGAUCGUAAAGCUCUGUUGUAAGUCAAGAACGUGUGUGAGAG
rnacentral:rRNA from 1 species